rnacentral:lncRNA from 1 species
CCUCAGAAACCCUGAGACAAAGUCAGAAAGAUCUGGAAAGACCUGCCAGAGGAAAUCUGCCACCCCUCUGGACAAGGAGCCUUCAUCUACAUAAAAGUGGGCUGUCACCAUGCAGCGAGGCUGCCUAACAUGAUGAGGCAAAUUCUGAAAUGAGGGAAGGAAGCCUGAGAUUUGAGCCCCAGCCCUGCCACUUACUACCUGUAAGCCCAGUGAACUUGACCUGGGAGGAGAGGAGCAACCCCAAGGCAAAUGCAGAUGUCUCUGAAGAGUGAAAAUGAGGAAACAUGUCCAGGGGGUUUUAUUUAUCCCCAUCCCUCCUAAAGGCCCGGGUGGUGUGGGACCCCCUCCGGAGAGGUGUAUGCACCUCCCUAGAGCUUACCCAGCCGGGUGCCUGUUCCUUGAUGAGAAUCCACAUGGUGUUGACCUCAGGCUUCUUCAUGGUUCACUCUGUGGCUGGUGGCAUUGGAUCUGCAUCAAGGUGGUCUCGAGGAUGGUCUUCUGAAGGAACUUAGGUGUCUUGGGUCCUGGAAGAUGGGUGACACACGGAUCUAUUUUUUUCCUAUGGUUAUAGACCCUUUCAGCACAACCUUUGUGGCCUUCAGAGCUUUUGUCUUGGUUUCAGUUUUGGGAAGGGCUGGGGCUUCCUUCUUGCUUUCAGCACCAUAUUUGCAGAAGGGAGUGUCUAUCUGACGGCCUGGUGUAGCAGUGCCAUCAGGAGCUGGUCUUCAGUGGAGAAAAUGUACUG